rnacentral:snRNA from 1 species
AGCCACGCAGUGGGCGCAAAGCGAACUAUUCUUUCGCCUUUUACUAAAGAAUACCGUGUGCACGCUGCAAAUAGUGGCAUACGCCAAUUUUUGGAGGGUUCAUCUCUUAGAUGCACC